rnacentral:piRNA from 1 species
UUCUAUUUAGGGGAUAGAGAUGGUAACCC